UGGGGAAUAUUGCACAAUGGGGGAAACCCUGAUGCAGCAACGCCGCGUGAGUGAAGAAGUAUUUCGGUAUGUAAAGCUCUAUCAGCAGGGAAGAAGAUGACGGUACCUGACUAAGAAGCCCCGGCUAACUACGUGCCAGCAGCCGCGGUAAUACGUAGGGGGCAAGCGUUAUCCGGAUUUACUGGGUGUAAAGGGAGCGUAGACGGCGGAGCAAGUCUGAAGUGAAAGCCCGGGGCUCAACCCCGGGACUGCUUUGGAAACUGUUCUGCUAGAGUGCUGGAGAGGUAAGUGGAAUUCCUAGUGUAGCGGUGAAAUGCGUAGAUAUUAGGAGGAACACCAGUGGCGAAGGCGGCUUACUGGACAGUAACUGACGUUGAGGCUCGAAAGCGUGGGGAGCAAACA
rnacentral:rRNA from 1 species